UGAUUGGAAAGUGAUGCCAUUCACAUUGGACACGUUUAAAUUUGAGACGCUAGUGGAACAACCAUGUAUAGACACCUACUCGGCAAUCCUGCAUAUGAUCUCAACAUCAGAAGAGAGAUGUGGGCUGAUGACACAGAACUGAGAAUAGCCAGCGUUGCCACUGGGAGUAACCAUCACAUAUGUGGCAAAAAAGGCCAUUGGCGCAGAUAUAAUCACCCAGGCGGGAUGUGUAAAAUGGAAAAAGAAGGCAACCUAGAAGCAGGAUUCAACGUAUCAGAUACAGUAAUGAAGACAAUAAGAAAUUGGAUUGAUCCAGGUCUGGAGUUUUGCCACAGAGUGAAAUGGAACAACAAUAUGCAGGAGAAGUGAGGAUACUGAAUUCUACUUGAAAAUUAUACAGAAACAAUUUCUUAGAAUGCUCACAAAAGACCUGAAAACAUGGGGAGGAAGCAGGGCAUUUACAGCAGGUCUUCUCUGACACUGUGCUGGUGGGCAGGGAGCCACCUCAUUACUACCAGGCACAGCUUAUAACUCAUGCAAAACAACAUGCUGCAAUGUUCUGAUGAAAUGCUCCUCUACAGUCGAGGCUCCCAGAAGGCAGAGAGCAUAUUCAUUAACUCAUUCUGCUCAACACUUAGCUCAUGUCCAUGGAGAGAUGUUGAAUAUGAGCUCCUAUUAAAAAGAGGGAAUACAAUCAAUCAUUUGAGAAUGUCCAAAAAGAACUUUUCCUUUCCAUCGAGCCUUACAAAUUAUUCUAAGAUUGUUUCUGUAAAUACCAUGUAAUUGGGAGAGAUACACAGGGAGCGUCAAUUGUGUCUGUAAUGUUUUACUGCUUAUGAUAAAAAGAUCUGAAACUAAUGUGACAAAAUACUAAGAUUUCAC
ensembl:lncRNA novel transcript, antisense to ACSS3